rnacentral:tRNA from 1 species
GUAGUCAUGGCUGAAUGGUUAGGGUGAUCAACUAGAAAUCCAUUGGGGUCUUCUCCCGCAGGUUCAAGUCCUGCGAACUAUA